rnacentral:rRNA from 1 species
CACCAGACUCCUACGGGAGGCAGCAGUGAGGAAUAUUGGUCAAUGGCCGCAGGGCUGAACCAGCCAAGUCGCGUGAGGGAUGACGGUCCUAUGGAUUGUAAACCUCUUUUGUCGGGGAGCAAAGCGAACCACGUGUGGUUCAUUGAGAGUACCCGAAGAAAAAGCAUCGGCUAACUCCGUGCCAGCAGCCGCGGUAAUACGGAGGAUGCGAGCGUUAUCCGGAUUUAUUGGGUUUAAAGGGUGCGCAGGCGGAAUGUCAAGUCAGCGGUAAAAUUUCGGGGCCCAACCCCGUCGUGCCGUUGAAACUGGCGUUCUUGAGUGAGCGAGAAGUAUGCGGAAUGCGUGGUGUAGCGGUGAAAUGCAUAGAUAUCACGCAGAACUCCGAUUGCGAAGGCAGCAUACCGGCGCUCAACUGACGCUCAUGCACGAAAGUGUGGGUAUCGAACAGGAUUAGAUACCCUCGUACCG